rnacentral:tRNA from 2 species
GCGCCUGUAGCUUAACGGAUAGAGCAUCUGACUACGGAUCAGAAGGUUGGGGGUUCGAAUCCCUCCAGGCGCACCA